UGCCUAACCCGUAGCCUUCCGUUACGGUAUGGCUUAAACCCACCACAGUAGAGACCUCCUCGUUAGGAGCACCUGUGGUGGGUCCCAUCUCGAAAGGGAUGGUGGGUGGCGCAAGCCAUC
rnacentral:sRNA from 12 species